rnacentral:rRNA from 1 species
GAUGAACGCUAGCUACAGGCUUAAAACAUGCAAGUCGAGGGACCGGCGCACGGGUGAGUAACACGUAUCCAACCUACCCUUUACUCGGGGAUAGCCUUUCGAAAGAAAGAUUAAUACCCGAUAUAAAGGAUGGUGAUGCGUUCAAUGAGGUUGUUGGUGAGGGAACGGCUCACCACGCCUUCGAUGGAUAGGGGUUCUGAGAGGAAGGCCACCUACAUUGGAACUGAGACCCGGUCCAAACUCCUACGUGAGGCAGGAGUGAGGAAUAUUGGUCAAUGAGCGCUAGCCUAACCCAGCCAAGUAGCGUGAAGGAGGAAGGCUUAUGGGUCGUAAACUUCUUUUAUAGAAGAAUAUGUAUUAUAUGAAUAAGGAUCGGCUAACUCCGUGCCAGCCGCCGCGGUAAUAC